rnacentral:rRNA from 1 species
CCUACGGGAGGCAGCAGUAGGGAAUAUUGCUCAAUGGGGGAAACUCUGAAGCAGCAACGCCGCGUGGAGGAUGAAGGUUCUCGGAUUGUAAACUUCCUUUGUUAGAGAAGAUAACGACGGUAUCUAACGAAUAAGCACCGGCUAACUCCGUGCCAGCAGCCGCGGUAACACGGAGGGUGCAAGCGUUACUCGGAAUCACUGGGCGUAAAGGGCGCGUAGGCGGGAUAGCAAGUUAGAUGUGAAAUCCUAAGGCUUAACCAUAGAACUGCAUUUGAAACUGUUAUUCUAGAGUAUGGGAGAGGUAGGUGGAAUUCUUGGUGUAGGGGUGAAAUCCGUAGAGAUCA